GGCAGUUGGCACUUUAUUUUUUUUUUUAAAAAAGAUUAUUAUAGAAUGUGUAAAAACAAUGUUAAAUAUAAACCGAAAAAUAAUUACAAUUAAAUUAAAGCUUUUUAAAGAAAUUAAAUUAAAACUAAAAUUAAUUGGACAUUAUUAGUCCUUGAACCAAAACCCAGAAGACAUCUCCAAUCCAAGCUCCAACAUCAUGGCAUUUCCCAAUAUUUAUAGCAAUAACCAAAUAUCUUCUUUGAAAGCACACAAACAACAACAUAAACUCCCGAUUUUAUAGCAAAAUCAAAAUAAUUUAUAUAUCAAACAAAUUGUCAACUACGCAAACCUAAAAUUCAAUAAACAAUAACAUGGAAACCCAAAAAUUUUGGGAUUGGGAUUUUAUAGUUGCUAGUCACCAUUGUUGGUGCCGCAUCAGUCAACAGCAACCCAUGAUUCUUUGAACUGCCAGAAGCCUCUCGAUAUCGCGUCAAGCUCCUGCCGCUUGUUUCCACCUAGAAAUGGUCACUCGUUGCGGUAGUGCAAUUGGUUAUGUGACCCUUGUGACGUCCAUGGAAGGGGAAAAGCGAAAAACCUUGUUGGUGACGUCCAUGGAAGGGGAAAAGCGAAAAACCUUGUUGGGGAGUGUGAAUAGAGGAGGGAAGAAAAUGAGCACUUGUUGCAGAGUGUAAAUGGAGGAGGGAAGAUGGAGCAUGAGGGGUCACAGAGAAGGAAGAGAAAAAAAUAAUUUUUUUUCUUUUAUCUUUAUUCAUCGUUGUAAUUUUACUAUUCUACCUUUAUAAUAGUUAAGUUGAUAAUGAUUUUUAACGGAAUAGGUGCGCUGUGAUAAUUGUUGAAAAAUUAGGGUAUACGGUACAUUUGAAGAUUUUUAUGGGAGAUGGCGAAAAAUAAUCCUAAAAAAAAUAAUUAUAAUAAGUGGUAGAUAUUUUUGAACGCUAUAAAAGUGAUGAUUGAUAGAAUUUUC
rnacentral:lncRNA from 1 species